rnacentral:rRNA from 1 species
CCUACGGGAGGCAGCAGUAGGGAAUAUUGCUCAAUGGGGGAAACCCUGAAGCAGCAACGCCGCGUGGAGGAUGAAGGUUUUCGGAUUGUAAACCUCUUUUGUUAGAGAAGAUAAUGACGGUAUCUAACGAAUAACGACUGGCUAACUUCGUGCCAGCAGCCGCGGUAAUACGGAGGGCGCAAGCGUUACUCGGAAUCACUGGGCGUAAAGAGCGCGUAGGCGGGAUAGCAAGUCAGAUGUGAAAUCCCAUGGCUUAACCAUAGAACUUCAUUUGAAACUGUUAUUCUAGAGUAUGGGAGAGGUAGGUGGAAUUCUAGGUGUAGGGGGGAAAUGCGUAGAGAUCAAGAGGAAUACUCGUUGCGAAGGCGACCUGCUAGAACGUAACUGACGCUGAUGCGCGAAAGCGUGGGGAGCAAACAGGAUUAGAUACCCUAGUAGUC